GAUGAACGCUGGCGGCGUGCCUAAUACAUGCAAGUCGAGCGAACAGAUGAGGAGCUUGCUCCUCUGACGUUAGCGGCGGACGGGUGAGUAACACGUGGAUAACCUACCUAUAAGACUGGGAUAACUUCGGGAAACCGGAGCUAAUACCGGAUAAUAUAUUGAACCGCAUGGUUCAAUAGUGAAAGACGGUUUUGCUGUCACUUAUAGAUGGAUCCGCGCCGCAUUAGCUAGUUGGUAAGGUAACGGCUUACCACGGCAACGAUGCGUAGCCGACCUGAGAGGGUGAUCGGCCACACUGGAACUGAGACACGGUCCAGACUCCUACGGGAGGCAGCAGUAGGGAAUCUUCCGCAAUGGGCGAAAGCCUGACGGAGCAACGCCGCGUGAGUGAUGAAGGUCUUCGGAUCGUAAAACUCUGUUAUUAGGGAAGAACAAAUGUGUAAGUAACUAUGCACGUCUUGACGGUACCUAAUCAGAAAGCCACGGCUAACUACGUG
rnacentral:rRNA from 1 species